rnacentral:rRNA from 1 species
AUUGAGCGCUGGCGGCAGGCCUAACACAUGCAAGUCGAACGGUAACAGGAAGAAGCUUGCUUCUUUGCUGACGAGUGGCGGACGGGUGAGUAAUGUCUGGGAAACUGCCUGAUGGAGGGGGAUAACUACUGGAAACGGUAGCUAAUAUCGCAUAACGUCGCAAGCCCAAAGAGGGGGACCUUCGGGCCUCUUGCCAUCGGCUGUGCCCAGGUGGGAUUAGCUAGUAGGUGGGGUAACGGCUCACCUAGGCGACGAUCCCUAGCUGGUCUGAGAGGAUGACCAGCCACACUGGAACUGAGACACGGUCCAGACUCCUACGGGAGGCAGCAGUGGGGAAUAUUGCACAAAGGGCGCAAGCCUGAUGCAGCCAUGCCGCGUGUAUGAAGAAGGCCUUCGGGUUGUAAAGUACUUUCAGCGGGGAGGAAGGGAGUAAAGUUAAUACCUUUGCCCAUUGACGUUACCCGCAGAAGAAGCACCGGCUAACUCCGUG